ACUCCGUGAUGAGGGCAUCUUUGUAAUAGUUCUAUAAACCUAUCCCACACCUCAUACAAUGACUCGUCAUCCAUUUGUUGGAAGGUAGUGAUCUCAUUCCUCAACUU
rfam:Gossypium hirsutum cultivar TM-1 chromosome 6, whole genome shotgun sequence